CCAGACUCCUACGGGAGGCAGCAGUGGGGAAUAUUGCACAAUGGGGGGAACCCUGAUGCAGCGACGCCGCGUGGGUGAAGGAGUAUUUCGGUAUGUAAAGCCCUAUCAGCAGGGAAGAACAAUGACGGUACCUGACUAAGAAGCCCCGGCUAACUACGUGCCAGCAGCCGCGGUAAUACGUAGGGGGCAAGCGUUAUCCGGAUUCACUGGGUGUAAAGGGAGCGUAGACGGCGACGCAAGUCUGGAGUGAAAGCCCGGGGCCCAACCCCGGGACUGCUCUGGAAACUGCGUCGCUGGAGUACGGGAGGGGCAGGCGGAAUUCCUGGUGUAGCGGUGAAAUGCGUAGAUAUUAGGAGGAACACCAGUGGCGAAGGCGGCCUGCUGGACGAUGACUGACGCUGAGGCUCGAAAGCGUGGGGAGCAAACAGGAUUAGAUACCCCAGUAAUG
rnacentral:rRNA from 1 species